rnacentral:rRNA from 1 species
UGGGGAAUUUUUCGCAAUGGGGGAAACCCUGACGAAGCAACGCCGCGUGGAGGAUGAAGGCCUUCGGGUCGUAAACUCCUGUCGACCGGGACGAAAGUAGUCCGACCCAAUACGUCGGGCUAUCGACUGUACCGGUGGAGGAAGCCACGGCUAACUCUGUGCCAGCAGCCGCGGUAAUACAGAGGUGGCAAGCGUUGUUCGGAAUUACUGGGCGUAAAGGGCGCGUAGGCGGUCGAUUAAGUCCCGUGUGGAAUCCCUCGGCUCAACUGAGGAACUGCACGGGAAACUGGUUGACUUGAGUUCGGGAGAGGGAAGCGGAAUUCCGGGUGUAGCGGUGAAAUGCGUAGAUAUGUGGAGGAAUACCGAUGGCGAAGGCAGCCCCCUGGGAUAACACUGACGCUCAUGCACGAAAGCGUGGGGAGCAAACAGGAUUAGAUACCCCCGUAGUCCCUGAGCGGGCUGGCAAGGCGCAU